ACCAGUGGUUAGGUUAGCUUCAAGAGUGGUGAGACUGUUGUUCCGCGACGCGUAAAUUAGCAUGCCGAAAGGGAACCCUGUGAAAACUGGAGAGCGGAACAUCCCCACUCGAGUAGCUGUCCAACGCCAAUGGACGCUACCAACGCUGCACGCUGGAGUAGUUGCGCUAGUCACCACCAGAAAGCGCCACGAGAAGGACAAUGGAUUCGCUAGGGCGAAAUAGGAUGAGAAUGGGGCGAAAUGGGAAGGAUGGAUGAGGUUGAGGAUCGCUGGAGAAUCUGCGCCAUUGGAUCGGUCACUUGCCUGGUGAUGUGAUUUGUGGACGGUCAACUAAGCCGAGUUGCCGUCACGUAUAGUGACAUUGUGUGAAGCGGAACCGGUGCAGAAGACCGGAGGAAAAGGGUCCGUCGAUCGCGAGAUCCGGACGAGCUGCAGGAGUACCUGCGCAGAAACUGGACAACAAGACCCCUCGGUGUGUACGCUUCGCGUACCGAUCGGCCAGCCCAACCCUGGGUGCCGGAAGCCCGUGUGACCCACACGACACCCGCAGUGUCCCCUACGGCGAUCGUCACGCCAGACGAUCGCAACUCUACACCGUUACGGUGAGGGAACUGCCGGUCGCGACGCCGCCAUUUUGUUCCGAGGAACAUCCCUGUCGCGACCAUAACCGCCACCGAAUCUGCCAGCCGUUACAACCCGUCGACGCCGGAAACCAGGCAAUCCGGUGGACUUGUCCACCGAAGUCCUGGGUCCGUCAACAAACCCAGGAGCGUCGAGGCAGAAGGCGAGGAGAGGGUCCGAGUACGUGCUGAAGCAGCUGACCGUCAAGCACGAGCGAA